rnacentral:snRNA from 1 species
GUGCUUGCUUCAGCAGCACAUAUUCCAAAACUGGAAUGAUACAGAGAAGAUUAGCAUGGCCCCCGUGCAAGGAUGACACACAAAUUCAUGAAGCGUUCCAUAUUUUU